rnacentral:rRNA from 1 species
CAGCCGCCACGGUAAUACAGAGGAUGCAAGCGUUAUCCGGAAUGAUUGGGCAUAAAGCGUCUGUAGGUGGCUUUUUAAGUCCGCCGUCACGUCGGCUGCUGAAAUCCCCCGGCUCAACCGGGGAAGUGGCACCGAUACGAGCGGCCUUGAGGGGGGUAGGGGGGUCUGGAACUUCCGGUGGAGCGGUGAAAUGCGUUGAGAUCGGAAGGAACGCCCGUGGCGAAAGCGAGGCCCUGGACCCUUUCUGACGCUGAGACGCGAAAGCCAGGGGAGCGAACGGGAUUAGAUACCCCGGUAGUCC